UCUGUAGGUGAAACCUGCGGAGGGAUCAUUACCGAGUUUACAACUCCCAAACCCAAUGUGAACGUUACCAAACUGUUGCCUCGGCGGGAUCUCUGCCCCGGGUGCGUCGCAGCCCCGGACCAAGGCGCCCGCCGGAGGACCAACCAAAACUCUUAUUGUAUACCCCCUCGCGGGUUUUUUUAUAAUCUGAGCCUUCUCGGCGCCUCUCGUAGGCGUUUCGAAAAUGAAUCAAAACUUUCAACAACGGAUCUCUUGGUUCUGGCAUCGAUGAAGAACGCAGCGAAAUGCGAUAAGUAAUGUGAAUUGCAGAAUUCAGUGAAUCAUCGAAUCUUUGAACGCACAUUGCGCCCGCCAGUAUUCUGGCGGGCAUGCCUGUCCGAGCGUCAUUUCAACCCUCGAACCCCUCCGGGGGGUCGGCGUUGGGGAUCGGCCCUGCCUUGGCGGUGGCCGUCUCCGAAAUACAGUGGCGGUCUCGCCGCAGCCUCUCCUGCGCAGUAGUUUGCACACUCGCAUCGGGAGCGCGGCGCGUCCACAGCCGUUAAACACCCAACUUCUGAAAUGUUGACCUCGGAUCAGGUAGGAAUACCCGCUGAAC
rnacentral:rRNA from 1 species